AGAGUUUGAUCCUGGCUCAGGACGAACGCUGGCGGCGUGCCUAAUACAUGCAAGUCGAACGCUUCUUUCCUCCCGAGUGCUUGCACUCAAUUGGAAAGAGGAGUGGCGGACGGGUGAGUAACACGUGGGUAACCUACCCAUCAGAGGGGGAUAACACUUGGAAACAGGUGCUAAUACCGCAUAACAGUUUAUGCCGCAUGGCAUAAGAGUGAAAGGCGCUUUCGGGUGUCGCUGAUGGAUGGACCCGCGGUGCAUUAGCUAGUUGGUGAGGUAACGGCUCACCAAGGCCACGAUGCAUAGCCGACCUGAGAGGGUGAUCGGCCACAUUGGGACUGAGACACGGCCCAAACUCCUACGGGAGGCAGCAGUAGGGAAUCUUCGGCAAUGGACGAAAGUCUGACCGAGCAACGCCGCGUGAGUGAAGAAGGUUUUCGGAUCGUAAAACUCUGUUGUUAGAGAAGAACAAGGAUGAGAGUAACUGUUCAUCCCUUGACGGUAUCUAACCAGAAAGCCACGGCUAACUACGUGCCAGCAGCCGCGGUAAUACGUAGGUGGCAAGCGUUGUCCGGAUUUAUUGGGCGUAAAGCGAGCGCAGGCGGUUUCUUAAGUCUGAUGUGAAAGCCCCCGGCUCAACCGGGGAGGGUCAUUGGAAACUGGGAGACUUGAGUGCAGAAGAGGAGAGUGGAAUUCCAUGUGUAGCGGUGAAAUGCGUAGAUAUAUGGAGGAACACCAGUGGCGAAGGCGACGAUCUGGCCUGCAACUGACGCUCAGUCCCGAAAGCGUGGGGAGCAAAUAGGAUUAGAUACCCUAGUAGUCCACGCCGUAAACGAUGAGUACUAAGUGUUGGAUGUCAAAGUUCAGUGCUGCAGUUAACGCAAUAAGUACUCCGCCUGAGUAGUACGUUCGCAAGAAUGAAACUCAAAGGAAUUGACGGGGGCCCGCACAAGCGGUGGAGCAUGUGGUUUAAUUCGAAGCAACGCGAAGAACCUUACCAGGUCUUGACAUCCUUUGACCACUCUAGAGAUAGAGCUUCCCCUUCGGGGGCAAAGUGACAGGUGGUGCAUGGUUGUCGUCAGCUCGUGUCGUGAGAUGUUGGGUUAAGUCCCGCAACGAGCGCAACCCUUAUUGUUAGUUGCCAUCAUUCAGUUGGGCACUCUAGCAAGACUGCCGGUGACAAACCGGAGGAAGGUGGGGAUGACGUCAAAUCAUCAUGCCCCUUAUGACCUGGGCUACACACGUGCUACAAUGGGAAGUACAACGAGUCGCUAGACCGCGAGGUCAUGCAAAUCUCUUAAAGCUUCUCUCAGUUCGGAUUGCAGGCUGCAACUCGCCUGCAUGAAGCCGGAAUCGCUAGUAAUCGCGGAUCAGCACGCCGCGGUGAAUACGUUCCCGGGCCUUGUACACACCGCCCGUCACACCACGAGAGUUUGUAACACCCGAAGUCGGUGAGGUAACCUUUUUGGAGCCAGCCGCCUAAGGUGGGAUAGAUGAUUGGGGUGAAGUCGUAACAAGGUAGCCGUAUCGGAAGGUGCGGCUG
rnacentral:rRNA from 1 species